rnacentral:rRNA from 1 species
CCUACGGGGGGCAGCAGUGGGGAAUAUUGCACAAUGGGGGGAACCCUGAUGCAGCGACGCCGCGUGGGUGAAGGAGCACCUCGGUGCGUAAAGCCCUAUCGGCAGGGAAGAAACAGACGGUACCUGACUAAGAAGCCCCGGCUAACUACGUGCCAGCAGCCGCGGUGAUACGUAGGGGGCAAGCGUUAUCCGGAUUCACUGGGUGGAAAGGGAGCGUAGACGGCGACGCAAGUCUGGAGGGAAAGCCGGGGGUCCAACCCGGGGACUGCUCUGGAAACUGCGGCGCUGGAGUGCGGGAGGGGCAGGCGGAAUGCCGGGUGUAGCGGUGAAAUGCGUAGAUAUCAGGAGGAACACCGGCGGCGAAGGCGGCCUGCGGGACCGUGACUGACGUUGAGGCUCGAGAGCGUGGGGAGCAAACAGGAUUAGAUACCCCUGUAGUC